GAGGCCAAGCCUGCCAGCACCCCUGAGUCUUCAGAACUGACUUGACCCCUGCGUGGGCUGCUAUAUUCACUAGAGCGCAGCACCCCCUGCAUUGUGUAUUCAGACCGAGCGCCAUACAUACAGGUACAAUGCUGGUGUUGACCCUUCAUGAUAAAAGGACAUGUUCCAUGCUCUAACUACAAUGUAUGGGCAG